CGAUUAGGUGGUGAAAACGGGCGAAUUUCCAUACCCUAGUACUUCUUCAUGGACUAAUUCUGAGUUGGGUAUACCCGCAGUGAAAGAAUAAAGGCAGGAUAUUCAUACUUCAAAAGUUUCGUUAAGUUAAAUAUUACAAUUUUGAUGGAAUGCUAAAUGGAAAAUGUAUACAACUUCAAAAAUAACAAAUUAUUUUAUUUUCUUAGCCGCCUUGUACGAAAUGGGUUAUAAUGUUAUGUUACUACGGAGUCACGCCCGGAAUGGCAUUAGUUAUUUUAGUCAACAAAGUAUUUAUCCUUUAAAUGAAACGUUUUUUUCUAACAGUUGA
rnacentral:lncRNA from 1 species